rnacentral:rRNA from 1 species
AGCGAACGCUGGCGGCAGGCCUAACACAUGCAAGUCGAACGAACUCUUCGGAGUUAGUGGCGGACGGGUGAGUAACACGUGGGAACGUGCCUUUUGGUUCGGAAUAACUCAGGGAAACUUGUGCUAAUACCGAAUGUGCCCUUCGGGGGAAAGAUUUAUCGCCAUUAGAGCGGCCCGCGUCUGAUUAGCUAGUUGGUGAGGUAACGGCUCACCAAGGCGACGAUCAGUAGCUGGUCUGAGAGGAUGACCAGCCACACUGGGACUGAGACACGGCCCAGACUCCUACGGGAAGCAGCAGUGGGGAAUCUUGCGCAAUGGGCGAAAGCCUGACGCAGCCAUGCCGCGUGAAUGAUGAAGGUCUUAGGAUUGUAUAAUUCUUUCACCGGGGACGAUAAUGACGGUACCCGGAGAAGAAGCCCCGGCUAACUUCGUG